rnacentral:rRNA from 1 species
CCUACGGGGGGCUGCAGUGGGGAAUAUUGGACAAUGGGCGAAAGCCUGAUCCAGCCAUGCCGCGUGUGUGAAGAAGGCCUUCGGGUUGUAAAGCACUUUCAGUGGGGAAGAAAGCCUUGGGGCUAAUACCCACGAGGAAGGACAUCACCCACAGAAGAAGCACCGGCUAACUCCGUGCCAGCAGCCGCGGUAAUACGGAGGGUGCGAGCGUUAAUCGGAAUUACUGGGCGUAAAGCGCGCGUAGGCGGUCUGAUAAGCCGGUUGUGAAAGCCCCGGGCUCAACCUGGGAACGGCAUCCGGAACUGUCAGGCUAGAGUGCAGGAGAGGAAGGUAGAAUUCCCGGUGUAGCGGUGAAAUGCGUAGAGAUCGGGAGGAAUACCAGUGGCGAAGGCGGCCUUCUGGACUGACACUGACGCUGAGGUGCGAAAGCGUGGGUAGCAAACAGGAUUAGAUACCCUGGUAGUC